GUCUCUGGGCUCAAAGCACCUUGGGAUGUAUUUGAGCACACUGCAUGUUCAUGGAGGGUGCCACAGUGGCACCCUCAUUUGUAUAGCCAGUGGUUGGAUACAAACUUUUGCUUUCAUCUACUCCAGCCUCUAUCCCAGGUUGUCCCCAUAGCUGGGAAGCAGAGCAGAGUGUGUCCCACCCUCAGCCCCUUCCAGUUCAUCAUCUGCUGUCAUGGUACAAACCCAUCCUUACUGAUGGGUGAAACCUAUACAAGAACGUAUGGACUGGAGGAAGAGCACUGUGGAUCCAUA